AUGGGAACGCGAAGAACCUUACCUAGACUUGACAUCUCCUGAAUAGUGUAGAGAUACAUGAAGCCCUUCGGGGCAGGAAGACAGGUGGUGCAUGGUUGUCGUCAGCUCGUGUCGUGAGAUGUUGGGUUAAGUCCCGCAACGAGCGCAACCCUUGUCCUUAGUUGCCAGCGAGUAAAGUCGGGAACUCAUGGGAGACUGCCGCAGACAAUGCGGAGGAAGGCGGGGAUGACGUCAAAUCAUCAUGCCCUUUAUGAUCUGGGCUACACACGUACUACAAUGGGCUUAAAUAGAGGGAAGCAAGACCGCGAGGUGGAGCGAACCCCAAAAACAAGCUCUCAGUUCGGAUCGCAGGCUGCAACUCGCCUGCGUGAAAUCGGAAUCGCUAGUAAUCGCAGAUCAGCAUGCUGCGGUGAAUACGCUCCCGGGUCUUGUACACACC
rnacentral:rRNA from 1 species